UUGUACAUUAUCUAGAAUCAUAACUAGAAUCAUCCAUAAACAAGUAUAAAUAGGGGAUGUCUUAUUCAUCUGUAACGAUCAAGAAAGUCUUCUUCAAUAACAAAGCUCUCCUUUCAAAAAUUACUCUUCUCUUUUCAAGCUUCAUCUUCUUUAGUUGAAUACUCCAACCUGAGUUAACGAUUUUUAGUUAGCAGAAAGUCUCUGAAAAAUACUCUUUUUCUGUUACUCUUUACGCUGAGCAGCCUUUGAGGGUCAUCAUCAAGGGCUGACGUGGA
rnacentral:lncRNA from 1 species